AUCGUCAUCAUCGUCACAUGUU
rnacentral:misc_RNA from 1 species